rnacentral:rRNA from 1 species
UAGGGAAUAUUAGUAAUGGGCGAAAGCCUGAACUAGCAACACCGCGUGUGCGAAGAAGGCCUUCGGGUUGUAAAGCACUUUUUGAGAGGAUGAGGAAGGACGGUACUCUCAGAAUAAGUCUCGGCUAACUACGUGCCAGCAGCCGCGGUAAAACGUAGGAGGCGAGCGUUAUCCGGAUUUACUGGGCGUAAAGCGUGUGUAGGCGGUUUGAUAAGUUGGAUGUGAAAGCUCCUGGCUCAACUGGGAGAGGCCGUUCUAAACUACAGAACUAGAGGAUGGUAGAGGGAGGUGGAAUUCCAGGUGUAGCGGUGGAAUGCGCAGAUAUCUGGAGGAACACCAGUGGCGAAGGCGGCCUCCUGGACCAUUCCUGACACUCAGACGCGAAAGCUAGGGUAGCAAACG